rnacentral:tRNA from 1 species
GGGAAUAUAACUCAGUGAUAGAGCACUUGCCUGGCAUGCAUGAGGCUCUGGGUUCCAUCCCCGGUACCUCA